GUCGAACGCAGGCGUGUUUGUACGCAAGUACAAGCGCUCACCUGAGUGGCGGACGGGUGCGUAACACGUGAGCAACCUGCCCGGGCGCGGGGGACAACCUUCGGAAACGGGGGCCAACCCCGCAUGGGCUUUGGGGCCGCAUGGUCCUGGAGUGAAACGAGCCUUCGGGCUCGGCGCCUGGAGGGGCUCGCGGCGUAUCAGCUGGUUGGUGGGGUAGAGGCUCACCAAGGCGAUGACGCGUCGGGGGUCUGAGAGGAUGGCCCCCCACAUGGGGACUGAGAUACGGCCCCAACUCCUACGGGAGGCAGCAGUGGGGAAUCUUGCGCAAUGGCCGAAAGGCUGACGCAGCGACGCCGCGUGCGGGAGGACGCUCUUCGGGGUGUAAACCGCUGUCACCCGGGACGAAUCCCGGUCGGAGGCAAUGCCGGCCGGUUGACGGUACCGGGAGAGGAAGCACCGGCUAACUCCGUGCCAGCAGCCGCGGUAAUACGGAGGGUGCGAGCGUUGUCCGGAAUGAUUGGGCGUAAAGGGCGCGUAGGCGGCUCUUUGCAAGUCCGCUGUGAAAGGCCGGGGCUCAACCCCGUGCAGGGCAGAGGAGACUGCGGAGCUAGGGACACGUAGAGGCUGGCGGAACUGGGGGUGUAGCGGUGGAAUGCGUAGAGAUCCCCAAGAACACCGGAGGCGAAGGCGGCCAGCUGGGCGUGCAAACGGGCAGGGCUUCGGUCCUGUCUAUCCGACGCUGAGGCGCGAAAGCGUGGGGAGCGAACCGGAUUAGAUACCCGGGUAGUCCACGCCGUAAACGAUGGGCACUCGCCGUCUGGGGGAUCGACCCUCUGGGUGGCUGAGCUAACGCGAGAAGUGCCCCGCCUGGGGAGUACGGCCGCAAGGCUGAAACUCAAAGGAAUUGACGGGGGCCCGCACAAGCGGUGGAGCAUGUGGUUUAAUUCGAAGCAACGCGAAGAACCUUACCCGGACUUGACAUGCUGAGGAAAGCCCAUCGAAAGAUGGGCCCCCCUUCGGGGUCUCAGCACAGGUGCUGCAUGGCUGUCGUCAGCUCGUGUCGUGAGAUGUUGGGUUAAGUCCCGCAACGAGCGCAACCCUUGCCGGCUGUUGCCAGCGGAGCCUUCCGGGGCUGCCGGGGACUCUGCCGGGACUGCCGCGAACAACGCGGAGGAAGGUGGGGACGACGUCAAGUCAUCAUGGUUCCGUACGUCCGGGGCGACACCGUGCUACAAUGGGGGGGGAAAAGAGCGCAGCCGAGCCCGGCU
rnacentral:rRNA from 1 species